rnacentral:rRNA from 1 species
UACGUAGGUGGCAAGCGUUGUCCGGAUUUAUUGGGCGUAAAGGGAGCGCAGGCGGUGACUUAAGUCUGAUGUGAAAGCCCACGGCUCAACCGUGGAAGGUCAUUGGAAACUGGGUCACUUGAAUAUAGAAGAGGAAAGUGGAAUUCCAUGUGUAGCGGUGAAAUGCGUAGAUAUAUGGAGGAACACCAGUGGCGAAGGCGACUUUCUGGACACAAACUGACGCUGAGGUACGAAAGCAUGGGGAGCAAACAGGAUUAGAUACCCCGGUAGU